GCCCCGGUAAACGGCGGCCGUAACUAUAACGGUCCUAAGGUAGCGAAAUUCCUUGUCGGGUAAGUUCCGACCUGCACGAAUGGCGUAAUGAUGGCCAGGCUGUCUCCACCCGAGACUCAGUGAAAUUGAACUCGCUGUGAAGAUGCAGUGUACCCGCGGCAAGACGGAAAGACCCCGUGAACCUUUACUAUAGCUUGACACUGAACAUUGAGCCUUGAUGUGUAGGAUAGGUGGGAGGCUUUGAAGUGUGG
rnacentral:rRNA from 2 species